rnacentral:rRNA from 1 species
CAGUCGCCGCGGGAAUACAGAGGGUGCGAGCGUUAAUCGGAUUUACUGGGCGUAAAGCGUGCGUAGGCGGCUUCUUAAGUCGGAUGUGAAAUCCCUGAGCUUAACUUAGGAAUUGCAUUCGAUACUGGGAAGCUAGAGUAUGGGAGAGGAUGGUAGAAUUCCAGGUGUAGCGGUGAAAUGCGUAGAGAUCUGGAGGAAUACCGAUGGCGAAGGCAGCCAUCUGGCCUAAUACUGACGCUGAGGUACGAAAGCAUGGGGAGCAAACAGGAUUAGAUACCCCAGUAGCCCUGUCUCUUAUACA